CUUUUCAGCAAUAGAGGCCUUGGAGGCCUUUCUACCUGCGUUGCAUCCUGUGGCUGGACCACUCCAACGAUCUCGGCAGAAUCGUUACACAGGAAGAAGUCUGGCUGGCCCCAAGCCUGGUGCAAAAUGAAGAAAU
rnacentral:lncRNA from 1 species